rnacentral:lncRNA from 1 species
UGAAGGAUUGACAUUAAAGCUAAAAAUAAAACUAAAGGAGGAUGGGACUAGCUUAGUGGGAAAGGCACUUGUCAUCAAGCCUGGUCUGAGUUUGAUGAAGGAGACCUAGAUGUGAAAGAAACUGACUUCCGCAGGUGUCUUAACCUCUGCAGGUGUACGGCGCAUGUGUGUACCUCCUCCCAUUACACACGCAAGUGGGCCACUACUACUACCUCCAACAAAGUUUUUCAGAGAUUUUUUUUUUUUUUGGUUCUUUUUUUUUCGGAGCUGGGGUCUGAACCCAGGGCCUUGCGCUUCCUAGGCAAGCGCUCUACCACUGAGCUAAAUCCCCAACCCCCAGAGAUUUCUUAUUGAUAAAAAAUUUUUGAGCUAUAAAAAAGAGAAGGAAUAAUAGAUACAAAAAUUCACAAUUUCUGUUUUUUAAAGUCAGUGCUGUUUCUCUGUUUUUAUCCAUCCUGGGGAGGGAUAGCGCACACAUAGUUUUGUUGCCUAGAAGAACCCUAAUGUGUCAUCCUUAUCCUGCCUUUCAAACAUUACUACCAACACCAAGUACACCACCACCACCUUUCUCUAGUUGUAUCAUAACUGCAGGGAGUAGGAUAUAAAAUUAUCCAUUUUCUGUAUAAGUUCAAAGAACAUUUGCUUGUAACUGAACUAGUAAGCCAGUUCAGGACUCCUCUCACCCAAGUGUCUGUAUUUAUCCUUCAUAUAUUAGAAAGUUAACCAGGACUCUGAAACUCAGGAAUAGUGGUCAUAGCUGUAAAGACAAAACCAAGGCUGGAUGGGGAAGUCUCCAACAGAAGACUGUACAUUUGGAAUUCUGGGCAGGAGAGAUGACUCACAGGGUAAAGGCUCCAGUCUGCCAAGCCUGCUGACCCAAGUUCAAUCCCUGGGACCCCACAUGGUAGAAGGGGAGAACCAACUCUCACAACUUGUCCUCUGAUGUCCUCUGAUGUUCACAGUGGUAUGAGUGUGUACAGAAGUGUAUAAAAUAAAACUCACAGAAUUUGGAACUUUG